rnacentral:rRNA from 1 species
UCCCUAGCUGGUCUGAGAGGAUGACCAGCCACACUGGAACUGAGACACGGUCCAGACUCCUACGGGAGGCAGCAGUGGGGAAUAUUGCACAAUGGGCGCAAGCCUGAUGCAGCCAUGCCGCGUGUAUGAAGAAGGCCUUCGGGUUGUAAAGUACUUUCAGCGGGGAGGAAGGGAGUAAAGUUAAUACCUUUGCUCAUUGACGUUACCCGCAGAAGAAGCACCGGCUAACUCCGUGCCAGCAGCCGCGGUAAUACGGAGGGUGCAAGCGUUAAUCGGAAUUACUGGGCGUAAAGCGCACGCAGGCGGUUUGUUAAGUCAGAUGUGAAAUCCCCGGGCUCAACCUGGGAACUGCAUCUGAUACUGGCAAGCUUGAGUCUCGUAGAGGGGGGUAGAAUUCCAGGUGUAGCGGUGAAAUGCGUAGAGAUCUGGAGGAAUACCGGUGGCGAAGGCGGCCCCCUGGACGAAGACUGAC